GAUAUGUAUGUAUUAAACAGACGGACAAUGAGCAUGAUGAGGAACUAAUGAUUGCAAUAAUUCAUAUGUAUAUAGUAUAACAACAUUGAUUUGUACAAGUAUGUACGAAUGAAAACAGAACUGACAACCACAACGCAUUUUUGAAACAAUGUAGACAUACUCCAGGUUUAUUAUGCACUUCAAUUUGUUUUUUAUGUUUGUUUAUGUUGACAGAGUCAUAACACUGAAGACGGGAGAUCCAUAUGUGUGUCCAAAAAAAGUAAAGACAAGUAAUACGUCUGAAACCAAAACAGAAAUACAUAUAGAGUGCUGUCCUAACUAUAUUUACCAGAACAGAAAAUGUGAAGCAUGUCCGCCUGGAAAAUAUGGUCAGGAUUGCUCAGAGAAUUGUUUGCCUAAUAACUACGGAGUACAGUGCAAGAAUAUAUGCAACUGUAGAGGUAAAACGAAAUGUGAUCCAAUUCAUGGUUGCAUCUGCUUUAAAGGAUUUACAGGGAGGCACUGCU